rnacentral:lncRNA from 1 species
GGGGGGGGGGGCUAGGAUGAAAUUUGAAAAAAAAUAGGCAGGACAGGAGUUUUGAGUAAAAAAAAAGGCAGGAUGAGACACUUUGCAAAAAAAAGGCAGGAUGAGACACUUUGCAAAAAAAAGGCAGGAUGACAAUUUAGGUAAAAAAAAGUCAGGAUAAACUAAUAAAAAAAAAGGCAGGACCGAAUAUAGUGAAAAAUAAAAAGGCAGGACAGAGAUUACAAGUAAAAAAAAUGCAGGAC